rnacentral:rRNA from 1 species
UACAGAGGUCCCGAGCGUUGUUCGGAUUCACUGGGCGUAAAGGGUGCGUAGGCGGCUCUGAAAGUCUGAUGUGAAAUCUCCAGGCCCAACCUGGAAAUGGCAUUAGAAACUACAGGGCUAGAGGCUUGGAGGGGGAACUGGAAUUCUCGGUGUAGCAGUGAAAUGCGUAGAGAUCGAGAGGAACACCAGUGGCGAAGGCGGCAUCCUGGACCGGCAUUGACGCUGAGGCGCGAAAGCCAGGGGAGCAAACGGG